CAGUCGCCGCGGUAAUACGGAGGGUGCGAGCGUUAAUCGGAAUUACUGGGCGUAAAGGGUGCGUAGGUGGUUGAUUAAGUUAUCUGUGAAAUUCCUGGGCUUAACCUGGGACGGUCAGAUAAUACUGGUUGACUCGAGUAUGGGAGAGGGUAGUGGAAUUUCCGGUGUAGCGGUGAAAUGCGUAGAGAUCGGAAGGAACACCAGUGGCGAAGGCGGCUACCUGGCCUAAUACUGACACUGAGGCACGAAAGCGUGGGGAGCAAACAGGAUUAGAUACCCGUGUAGUCCCUGUCUCUUAUAC
rnacentral:rRNA from 1 species